rnacentral:lncRNA from 1 species
UAAAAAUCUCUGCUUUGUGUAGACGGUAACGUACUCAAUUACUCUCGGAGUAUUUAGCUCUUCUAGACAUAACAUCUGCAAUUCAAUUAAAUGUUUCAUCUAUUUUCUUCAUAUCGUUCCAGGAUAUAAACCUUGAUUCUGUUAAUCCAGUGUUGAUGCCUGUUUCAUUCUGACAAGGACAUUUUGUGAUUCUUUGAAACAAUGCAAUGCUUGGGAAUGAAAAGAAAAGAGAGUAUUUUGACUUAAGAAAAGCUACUAUGGAAUCAGAUGUUUUAAAGUUGACCCAGAAGAGGACUUGAUGAGGCUGGAUGAGGAAAUUAGAGCAUUCGGACUGGAACGUUAUGAGAUUACAAAACAAAUUUGAGCUCUCCCUGGAUCCAUGAAAGCCAUGGACCGCUCUUCUUCGAAGAGCAGAACCAUCAGCUCAGUCACAGAGAUUUCACACUUUUAUUCUGAAAGAGGCCACGAAAACAAUUCCUGUCCAUGAUAGAUGGUAGACGACUGGCCAACACUUCCCCAAGAGUAAGCCUACUUAACUGUGCUAUUACUGUCUGAUCAGCUGAAACGUGUACUUUUG